CAGCUAUUGUAGUGGCUUCAUCUCAGAGAGAAACACAGCUAGGUCAAAGUCCCACAGAGGAAACUUUGAAAGUCCUCCUUAAAACUCCAUUUUCCUCUUAGCAUAAACAUUUUGUGGUUUGUCUUUUACAUUUAUUGCAUUUACUGUCAGCCAGUUUUACCCUGUUGUUCAGCUGAUUUCUUUAUUUGCUCAGACAUUCUAUGCACUGAAUGUUGCCUUGAUUAUUUAUCUUUGCAUGUAGCUUGUACAGCACCAUGGCAACCAGAGAUUUCGAAAUGUGUUUUAUGAAUAAAGUGAGUGAAGAUACACAAUAACAGCUUAGCUCGUUAUUGUGCGUUAGUCAUCUAACUUUGAGUUGAGUUGAGGCUGAGGUAGAAGGAAUCCAGAUGAAGGUCGGUUCUGAGUGUGGUUGCCAUGCUGUCUUUCUGAGGAUGGCUGUGAGCAGAGACAUCCUGACAAACUGUUCAGCAAACAGGAAGUGAUAGGGGACGCCCAGUAUUAGAGGCAUUUCCCCACCCUCCAGAAUCAAGAAGAACAUUUCCUGUUCUACACAACUUAAAGCAAUUAUUAGAAAUGUAGCUUUUGAAGCUACAACAAUCA